CGUAAUCCGGGUUGCGGACAGUGUCUGGUGGGUAGUUUGACUGGGGCGGUCUCCUCCUAAAGAGUAACGGAGGAGCACGAAGGUUGGCUAAUCCUGGUCGGACAUCAGGAGGUUAGUGCAAUGGCAUAAGCCAGCUUGACUGCGAGCGUGACGGCGCGAGCAGGUGCGAAAGCAGGUCAUAGUGAUCCGGUGGUUCUGAAUGGAAGGGCCAUCGCUCAACGGAUAAAAGGUACUCCGGGGAUAACAGGCUGAUACCGCCCAAGAGUUCAUAUCGACGGCGGUGUUUGGCACCUCGAUGUCGGCUCAUCACAUCCUGGGGCUGAAGUAGGUCCCAAGGGUAUGGCUGUUCGCCAUUUAAAGUGGUACGCGAGCUGGGUUUAGAACGUCGUGAGACAGUUCGGUCCCUAUCUGCCGUGGGCGCUGGAGAACUGAGGGGGGCUGCUCCUAGUACGAGAGGACCGGAGUGGACGCAUCACUGGUGUUCGGGUUGUCAUGCCAAUGGCACUGCCCGGUAGCUAAAUGCGGAAGAGAUAAGUGCUGAAAGCAUCUAAGCACGAAACUUGCCCCGAGAUGAGUUCUCCCUGAGACUUAGAGUCUCCUGAAGGAACGUUGAAGACG
rnacentral:rRNA from 1 species